CCACAGGGUGUGAAAACCUCAAGAAAUUCUUCAUCCUCAAUCCCAUCAAAGGAGGUUGUAUCCUCCAAAGGAAACACCCUCCACACUGGCGGCUGAGAUAAGUGUCUGACCACCAGAAUUUGUCUGACAGCGUGACCCCAUCAUCUCCCUCUGGCAGCAGCUGGGGCCAGCAGGAAGUCAUUGGCAAGCUGUCAUAAGACACUCACCUCCCACUUUGUAAGAGAAGAGCCCUGAAUGCUUUGAAAUUUUCUUGUAAUCCAACUGAAAAAACCCUUCAAACCACUUUCACUGAGGGCAAUCGAAGCCUGGUGAGACCACUCUAAGAAUGGGACAGAUGUCAACGAACUGCAAAGGGGACUCCAUUUGGAGCUAUGAC